rnacentral:rRNA from 1 species
UUAAGCGACUAAGCGUACACGGUGGAUGCCCUGGCAGUCAGAGGCGAUGAAGGACGUGCUAAUCUGCGAAAAGCGCCGGCGAGGUGAUAUGAACCUUUGACCCGGCGAUGUCCGAAUGGGGAAACCCAGUGUGAUUCGUCACACUAUCGUUAACUGAAUACAUAGGUUAACGAGGCGAACCGGGGGAACUGAAACAUCUAAGUACCCCGAGGAAAAGAAAUCAACCGAGAUUCCCCCAGUAGCGGCGAGCGAACGGGGAGCAGCCCAGAGUCUGAAUCAGCUUGUGUGUUAGUGGAAGCGUCUGGAAAGUCGCACGGUACAGGGUGACAGUCCCGUACACGAAAGCACACAGGUUGUGAACUCGAAGAGUAGGGCGGGACACGUGGUAUCCUGUCUGAAUAUGGGGGGACCAUCCUCCAAGGCUAAAUACUCCUGACUGACCGAUAGUGAACCAGUACCGUGAGGGAAAGGCGAAAAGAACCCCGGCGAGGGGAGUGAAAAAGAACCUGAAACCGUGUACGUACAAGCAGUGGGAGCACCUUCGUGGUGUGACUGCGUACCUUUUGUAUAAUGGGUCAGCGACUUAUAUUCUGUAGCAAGGUUAACCGUAUAGGGGAGCCGAAGGGAAACCGAGUCUUAACUGGGCGUUAAGUUGCAGGGUAUAGACCCGAAACCCGGUGAUCUAGCCAUGGGCAGGUUGAAGGUUGGGUAACACUAACUGGAGGACCGAACCGACUAAUGUUGAAAAAUUAGCGGAUGACUUGUGGCUGGGGGUGAAAGGCCAAUCAAACCGGGAGAUAGCUGGUUCUCCCCGAAAGCUAUUUAGGUAGCGCCUCGUGAACUCAUCUUCGGGGGUAGAGCACUGUUUCGGCUAGGGGGCCAUCCCGGCUUACCAACCCGAUGCAAACUACGAAUACCGAAGAAUGUUAUCACGGGAGACACACGGCGGGUGCUAACGUCCGUCGUGAAGAGGGAAACAACCCAGACCGCCAGCUAAGGUCCCAAAGUCAUGGUUAAGUGGGAAACGAUGUGGGAAGGCACAGACAGCCAGGAUGUUGGCUUAGAAGCAGCCAUCAUUUAAAGAAAGCGUAAUAGCUCACUGGUCGAGUCGGCCUGCGCGGAAGAUGUAACGGGGCUAAACCAUGCACCGAAGCUGCGGCAGCGACGCGUAUGCGUUGUUGGGUAGGGGAGCGUUCUGUAAGCCGUUGAAGGUGGCCUGUGAGGGUUGCUGGAGGUAUCAGAAGUGCGAAUGCUGACAUAAGUAACGAUAAAGCGGGUGAAAAGCCCGCUCGCCGGAAGACCAAGGGUUCCUGUCCAACGUUAAUCGGGGCAGGGUGAGUCGACCCCUAAGGCGAGGCCGAAAGGCGUAGUCGAUGGGAAACAGGUUAAUAUUCCUGUACUUGGUGUUACUGCGAAGGGGGGACGGAGAAGGCUAUGUUAGCCGGGCGACGGUUGUCCCGGUUUAAGCAUGUAGGCGGAACGAUUAGGUAAAUCCGGUCGUUUUUUAACGCUGAGGUGUGAUGACGAGGCACUACGGUGCUGAAGUAACAAAUGCCCUGCUUCCAGGAAAAGCCUCUAAGCAUCAGGUAACAUCAAAUCGUACCCCAAACCGACACAGGUGGUCAGGUAGAGAAUACCAAGGCGCUUGAGAGAACUCGGGUGAAGGAACUAGGCAAAAUGGUGCCGUAACUUCGGGAGAAGGCACGCUGAUAUGUAGGUGAAGCCCCUGCGGGUGGAGCUGAAAUCAGUCGAAGAUACCAGCUGGCUGCAACUGUUUAUUAAAAACACAGCACUGUGCAAACACGAAAGUGGACGUAUACGGUGUGACGCCUGCCCGGUGCCGGAAGGUUAAUUGAUGGGGUUAGCGGCAACGCGAAGCUCUUGAUCGAAGCCCCGGUAAACGGCGGCCGUAACUAUAACGGUCCUAAGGUAGCGAAAUUCCUUGUCGGGUAAGUUCCGACCUGCACGAAUGGCGUAAUGAUGGCCAGGCUGUCUCCACCCGAGACUCAGUGAAAUUGAACUCGCUGUGAAGAUGCAGUGUACCCGCGGCAAGACGGAAAGACCCCGUGAACCUUUACUAUAGCUUGACACUGAACACUGGUCCUUGAUGUGUAGGAUAGGUGGGAGGCUUUGAAGUGUGGACGCCAGUCUGCAUGGAGCCGUCCUUGAAAUACCACCCUUUAAUGGCUGGUGUUCUAACGUAGACCCGUAAUCCGGGUUGCGGACAGUGUCUGGUGGGUAGUUUGACUGGGGCGGUCUCCUCCCAAAGAGUAACGGAGGAGCACGAAGGUUAGCUAAUCCUGGUCGGACAUCAGGAGGUUAGUGCAAUGGCAUAAGCUAGCUUGACUGCGAGAGUGACGGCUCGAGCAGGUGCGAAAGCAGGUCAUAGUGAUCCGGUGGUUCUGAAUGGAAGGGCCAUCGCUCAACGGAUAAAAGGUACUCCGGGGAUAACAGGCUGAUACCGCCCAAGAGUUCAUAUCGACGGCGGUGUUUGGCACCUCGAUGUCGGCUCAUCACAUCCUGGGGCUGAAGUAGGUCCCAAGGGUAUGGCUGUUCGCCAUUUAAAGUGGUACGCGAGCUGGGUUUAGAACGUCGUGAGACAGUUCGGUCCCUAUCUGCCGUGGGCGCUGGAGAAUUGAGGGGGGCUGCUCCUAGUACGAGAGGACCGGAGUGGACGCAUCACUGGUGUUCGGGUUGUCAUGCCAAUGGCACUGCCCGGUAGCUAAAUGCGGAAAAGAUAAGUGCUGAAAGCAUCUAAGCACGAAACUUGCCCCGAGAUGAGUUCUCCCUGAGACUUUAAGUCUCCUGAAGGAACGUUGAAGACGACGACGUUGAUAGGUCGGGUGUGUAAGCGCAGCGAUGCGUUGAGCUAACCGAUACUAAUGAACCGUGAGGCUUAACCU